rnacentral:rRNA from 1 species
UUAAAUUGAAGAGUUUGAUCAUGGCUCAGAUUGAACGCUGGCGGCAGGCCUAACACAUGCAAGUCGAACGGUAACAGGAAACAGCUUGCUGUUUCGCUGACGAGUGGCGGACGGGUGAGUAAUGUCUGGGAAACUGCCUGAUGGAGGGGGAUAACUAC